rnacentral:rRNA from 1 species
UUGCCCAGUAACGGCGAGUGAAGCGGCAAGAGCUCAAAUUUGAAAGCUGGCUCCUUCGGGGUCCGCAUUGUAAUUUGCAGAGGAUGCUUCGGGAGCGGUCCCCAUCUAAGUGCCCUGGAACGGGACGUCAUAGAGGGUGAGAAUCCCGUAUGGGAUGGGGUGUCCGCGCCCGUGUGAAGCUCCUUCGACGAGUCGAGUUGUUUGGGAAUGCAGCUCUAAAUGGGUGGUAAAUUUCAUCUAAAGCUAAAUAUUGGCCGGAGACCGAUAGCGCACAAGUAGAGUGAUCGAAAGAUGAAAAGCACUUUGAAAAGAGAGUUAAAAAGCACGUGAAAUUGUUGAAAGGGAAGCGCUUGCGACCAGACUCGCUCGCGGGGUUCAGCCGGCAUUCGUGCCGGUGUACUUCCCCGCGGGCGGGCCAGCGUCGGUUUGGGCGGUCGGUCAAAGGCCNUCGGAAGGUAACGCCCCUAGGGGCGUCUUAUAGCCGAGGGUGCAAUGCGACCUGCCUAGACCGAGGAACGCGCUUCGGCUCGGACGCUGGCAUAAUGGUCGUAAGCGACCCGUCUUGAAACACGGACCAAGGAGUCUAACAUCUACGCGAGUGUUCGGGUGUCAAACCCGUGCGCGAAGUGAAAGCGAACGGAGGUGGGAACCCUUACGGGUGCACCAUCGACCGAUCCUGAAGUCUUCGGAUGGAUUUGAGUAAGAGCGUAGCUGUUGGGACCCGAAAGAUGGUGAACUAUGCCUGAAUAGGGCGAAGCCAGAGGAAACUCUGGUGGAGGCUCGUAGCGGUUCUGACGUGCAAAUCGAUCGUCGAA